CUGGGCCAGUUGCGUCGUGACGUCGUGGGAGAAGUUCUAGCGGCCGUCGCUUGAAACUGAACCUUCGAUUGGUAAAAACGUAUUUUUCUUUAUUAAUCCGCUCGCUGGAGUCAGGAUUUUUGAUCAAAACUAUUUCUAAUCGGGAUUAAAAAGUUUUAAAAGAAAAAUCCCGACUUCGGAUUGAAAAUUUCGUCUAGAGCCUAGAAAGUUCUAGAACGUUUCUCGACCCCCACCACCCCCAGGGUAUAAAAGGGACGGCCCGAGCCGAGACGUCAUUCCUGCUGGAGAGCUGGGCCAGGCUGCACUGCUAGACGCAUUAGACUCUAGGAGAAAAUGAGGUCAUUUCUUGUUCUCAGCGAUUUCCAUCUCCGACACCCUGGAAUCACUUGAACCGGGUCGUAUUGUGAACCGGAUGGAGUGUGACCAGAAUUGUGUGGCGUGAAGCCCCUAUCCCCUUCUGUUGUGUGGUACACCAAUUUUUAAUUUCUUAUGACAAAUAUGAAAAAUGUAUGUUCUUUUUCUAUUGUGACGCAUUAACCUUGGCUCAAGGUCAACGAAUUAGGUUUACGCGUUUAAAAAAUUGUGCGAUGGACAACCCUAUGCGGCAUCUUUAGAGGUCGAUGCGACGGCAAUAAAACCCUUGCGGCUUUUUAAAAACCGAGACUGGAUUUUCUCAACUACGGCGUCCCAGAAGUAUUUCAGUAGAACUUAUUCUUUUUAAAUGAACGAAGUGUUGAAAAUGAGUUUUGAAUACUCAGUUUUUAAUUUGAAAUAUGCCUGAAGUAUUUUUUCUGCUCAUGUACGCUUCCCGUUAGUAAACCAGAUGUUUUUUGGUUGUUUUAUUUGCACCAACCUCAACUCAAAAACAUUAAGAAAAAAAUAGGAAAAGAAUUUCAAUAACAAUUUCUUAACAAACAAAAACGAAAGAAAACACAUUAAAGAGAAGAACUAAAAUAAUGGAAGAUAAAUGGAUGAGGUUGAUAAAAUUUCCUUUGUACGAAGAAAGUAUCUAAAUAAGUUAACUUAGCCCCAAAAUUAAUCCCAGAUAAGUAAUAACUAAUCCAUGCUUAUUACUACUUUCGUAUAAAUUUUAUAUACCCUCGUUUCUGAGGGGCCUGUUUUUAAUGUUAUUUUUUCAGAAUAUUUAGUUUAGGGGUCAACAGCAUAUGCAAAUGAAAAAGAACUGACUGACUGAGGAUCUUAAAAAUUAUUUUUUACUCAUAACAAAUUAUAGAAAUUUAAUUUUGUAUAAAGAUGAAACUUCCCCUGCAAGAUAAGUAAAUUUACAAAGAAAACUUUAGGGGGGCUUGGGGUUUAAUUUAAAUAUUUUUCAGUUGCCAGCUGGUUGUAAUCUAGAAAUAUAUUUCGUAAAUUAUGGCUUACAAUAAUACUAGAUCCAUGUACCUAAAAUGUUAAAAGAAAUGAUUUUGAAUGAAAUAAUUUGGAUAGAAAAUUUGCCCGAAAAAAGAGGAUAUUUAUUUUUCAGCGAUAGGUUUUAAAAAAAUUGAGGCAGCAGACCAGACAAAACUACUUAAUAAAAAAAAUAUUGAGGCAGCAGACCAGACUACAUAUUAAAGUGUUGUAAAAUUGGGUAGAAUUUAUGCAGUAAAGUUUAAAAAUUUUGUAUUUAUUCGCAUUCAUAUGCGAAUUCUUGUCCUUAAAAAUAUUUUUUCCAGUUCAGUUUUGUACAGUGGCGGCUUUCGAGAGGCAGGAAGGUCAGACUUAGGUACAAGCCGGUCCGUGGUCUUCCAGGUCUUUGCAAGUGCUUUUUAAAUUUUACGUUAGACAAUAAUGAACGAAGAUUAAUGAAAAUGCUGCAUCUAAAAAUUAGUAACGCUUAUAAUUUUUAAAAAAUAUUUCAUAUUGAUGUCCUGCUUCUGAUCUGAUUCCCCCUCCCCAGAAAUUAAAGAAGUUAUUUUCAGAAAGUAGUAUAAAAAGAAGCGUAAAAUGAGUACGUCCCAGGUCUGAGAUGGCUACCGCGGUUAAAAAUCAGGUACACAAAUUAUUGUGGCUUAGUUUUUGCAAAAUUGUAGAUUUUUCGGCUGAAUUUCCAAGAGCCGUAUUUUUUUUAAAUGCUGUCCUCUCAGUACCCUUGUAAAAAAGGGGAAGCUAACAAGAAUUUUCAGAGUUGGCGUCUUAUUUCAAAAAGUUUGGAUGCUUUUUCUAUUUCAACCAUGUGUCCCUGUCAAUAAUUAAAGAAUUGUAAGUACCAAAUUAUUUUUAAAAUUUUUAGAACAUGUCCCUCCCCCGUAAGGGGUUAACAAAUAUUUUCAGUUGCCAACAUUUUUGGAAGAAUGCGGACAAAAGCGAAAUUGUUUUGAGGACUGCAAUCUUAUCAAGGUAGACAUUACCUGAAAUUUUUAGUCUUGAUUAGUUCAGUAUUGGUUUCUCUUCGGAGUGUAUGGUCUUUUCCCCGUUUGAGGGAUUUUUAAUUGAGAUUUUCAGAAUGGAGUCCGACCUAGCUUAUCAACGAAUGGCUCCAAGCUUAAGCUGUCCUGUAAUUUUUAUAAAUUUUGUAAGUACCCUUGAUUUCUGAAAUUUAAGAUGUCGUCCCCUCCCUCCCCUGAAAAGGGGGAUAACAGAAAUUUUCAGAGUUGCAACAGUUUUGGAAGAAGUACAAAAACCCGUAAAAUUCUACCAGAAAGCACAAAGUACGAAAUGUUCUAUAGAAUAAGGACCGCUAAUCAGAAAAAAGGGAAGGUAGUUUUUCCGUUAAAACAUUGUUUAAGAAUUGGUCGUCCUGGAAUUGUCUCCUGGCGGGAGGGAGUUUUAACUCAAUUUUCAGAAUGCAGAAGUGACCCAGUUCAUGGCCAAAAUGUUCAUUAAAUGUCUCCAAGCUAAGGAUUUUACCUACAUCAGACUUGUUAAUAAAUUCAAUUCAAACUAAAUGUAAAACUAGUUUCGUAAGUAAUUCAUUUUUGAAAGGUUUUCGUUAAAUAUUUUGCCUCCCUUCGGAGGGAGUUUCUAACGAAAGUUUUCAGAACUGCAGAAGGAAAGACUGGCUCUAUAAUUCUCUGGCCUUGGUAAAACUGCAGGUUUUGUAAAGCUGUUGGACCCCUCAGCAUCUCUGUAGGAGACGGUGCGCAGUCCCCAAACCGUUUGCGGAAUCUAGGCCUCAGCAUCAUAGGAGCAGGCGUUCGUUUAGCUAUCGGGGGUAGAACUGACUAUGCAACUCGCCGGGUGUUUUUCUCUCUUCCAACAUCGUAGGAGGCUGGCGUCUUAGGGAUUUAGGCCGUGGAUGGCGUCUGCCACUCGUUACUGUGGUUUUCCUCCCUGUGGAUGGCCGAGACGACCCUGACCGGUUUUUUAUGCGGCCCGUUCGAGAUUCAACCCUCCCUGCCGUGUGAUCCUGGGACGCGCACACUGCCUGCACACCGUUCUACAGUUUAGUCUUCUCCCGAGAUGUUCUACAGAGUUCGGCCCACCGUUUGGCAAAUACAAUUGUGGAUGGAAAAAUUUACUUCUGACAAGAGGUUGGAUUACAUCAGUAGUACAAGUUUUUUUGCUUGUUAAUGUCAUUUUCAGUAGACCCUGAGAAAUGGAUCGAGGAGUUCCACAAGGGGGAAAAAUAUAUUUCUCAAUACUUUUUCAAUGUCGCUGUGCAGUGUUCGGCUCAUAACAAUUUCAGUCAACCCAAGGGCAGAUUCACAAUUGAUCGUUCUAAAAUUGUAGAGAUAACAUGAAGCAGGAAACCUGCGAUAUAAUCCAGUAUUCCGAUAGAGAAAAAUUGUGCUUGCACACAUUUAAAUUUUCAGCCAAACUAGAAGCAAAAUACAAGUCGUUCCUGUCAAAAACAAAAAUUACUUUCUGGGAUUUUUAAGUAUCAACUUAUUAGUCAACCCCUGAAUAAAUUUUUACGGAAGUGAUCCAGAAGUGUAAAAAAAACGGGGAACUCUAAAGUGAUAUUCAGUUACUUAGGAAAAACAUUGCUUAUACAAAUUUAAUUUUCAGCGAAUACCAGAAGCAAAAGAUGCGAGAAAACGUUAAAAAAUGUCUAAAAACUUAUCACUUAGGUCAAACACCGUAAAAUUUGGGAAGAGUAAUGAAAAAGUAAGACUUGUUACACUGGAUUAAAAAAAGCAUUUGAUCUAAAUUAUCAGUCAUUCUGCCAAAAGAAUCGGUUUGCUUUUUGGUGGCUAACUUGAGAAUUUGGAGAGUAUAAAUGAAAAAAAGUGGAUUUGUGCAGUGAAGUUUCAAGAAAAUGUUAAAAAUUUUCAGGCCAGAGAUUGUGCAAAAUAAAAGAAGAGGAAUUUAGUUUCACAAAAAGUUUGGACUGUAAAAUGGCUUAUUGGUUUGUGUGAAUGGAACAAAAUUAAAUAUGUGCAAUUAAUUCAGUUCGUGGGAACAAUUCUUUCUUGUUCAAAAUUUAAUUUUUAGUCAAACUACAGUCGAGGAAUUUUUUUCUGCUGCCCUGGGCGAAGUACUUUCAAGGAAAAAAACGAAGCAAAAACAAUUCUUGCCUGUUCAAAAUUGAGUUGCAGUCGAAAUUUUUCUGCUGCCCUAGGCGGGGAGCACUAACAAGAAAACUGAAGCAAAUGCUAAAAUCUCUGCACUGUUGGAAAAAACUGGCAAGUCGUAUUGUUUCUUUUGACCAAUAUUUAGAGCCCGUUUUCAGCUGUAUGAAAUAAAAAGCAUUAAGAAUAUCAAAAGCAAAUUUACUUUUUUUACAAAUCCCAACAUUAUGAUGAAGUAAUGUCAAAUUAAUCAAAAUGUAUGGGACUACUGAAAGUUGAUUUAAUAUGGAGAGCGACCUUCUAAAAAUCCCAACUUUAUGGAGUAAUGUAAAAUUAAUCAAAAUGUAUGGGUCUACUGAAAGUUGAUUUCAUAUGGAGCCACCAAUCUUAAAACGAAAAUUAUUUUGUUUUGAAAAUUAAGAUGUGAGAAGGUUUAUUUAGUCUUAAAAAUCGCAGAAGGAUGGUGUUAUUUCUUACGUAUUUCCCCAAUGAAAAAUAUUCGGCGAAGCAACUUUAAAUUAGACGGUUCCAGAAGACGAGAUUUCUUGUCCUAUAAAAAUUAAUUUAUCUAUUGGUCGUCGGGGUUUUCUUUCUUGAACGUCACUUGUCUUGUCUUUUUGGGCAUAGCUGGUCGAGUUGGAUUGGGAAGGGAACUGCCAACGCAUCGCACAAAAACACAAGAUUCUACCCUUCUUAUUCUGGUGAAGGAGUGUUUCGAUCAGAUUCAUCAAUUCUCUCACGGCUUUUGUCUCAAGCCGCUCUAGAAAAAAAUGUGGCUUUUGUCUUUCGUCACACUUCUUCGGCUAGUUCUCGGGGUCCCGAUUUCUCUCUGACCUCUGGAUUGUGAUUGUGUGAUAUUUAUCUAAAACUUAGAACAAUUAAGGACUUCAAUUUAUAAUAUACAUAUACUCAGAACAAGUCUUCGUUGUUAAUAAUGAAAAGAAAAAAAUUGUAUACCUGUUUUUGUUUAUUUUUUAUUUAAUGCUGGAAUGAACAAUUCUAUUUAUAGAAACAGCGACGUAUGUAUUCUCUUUAGAUUGGAAUGUAUUUACUGUUUUUGUUUAUAAAUUAUAUUUUUUUCUGCGGAAAGCAUGUUUGUAAUUCUUAGGACAUUUUUAUUGAUUCUAUUAACUACGACGGAUUUUGAUUUUUAUCUGUACAGAAUAACACGAGUUUAAAUGAUGGUGUAAACCUAUAAAAAAAUCAUAAUUUUAGUUGUUUUUAUAGUUUUAUAGAUAUCAUUUGUCCAUCGUAAUAAAUCGUCAUUUAAAGAAAAACUAAAUUAUAUCAACAAAUUACUGUAUGUAGGGAGAAAACACUAUUACAUAUUUCUUUCUAGUAUAUAUUAUUCCUUUGAUUGUUUCUUUUAAGGCAUAAUAAAUUUAAGGCUUAAAAGCUUAUGGUUUAUAGCUUUGGUUUUCCUAUUAUCCACCGGUGAAAAUAGGAUACAUAUGUAUAGGCUGAAUUCUUAUCUUAUGUAUUCCUUUUCUACUGAUCUGUACCAGUAACAGUUACAUAUAUCAAAAUUUUUCUAAUAAAACUACCGGUUUUAUAUAUAUAUUUUGUUGAAUUAUUUAAUUUUUAUUAGGCUCAGGCUGAAUUUUUCAUCUUAUCAAUGUAUUCCUUUCCUACUGGUUGCACCAGUAACAGUUGCAUAUAUCAAAAAAUUUUCUAAUAAAACUACCGGUUAUAUAUUAUUGAA